UAAGUGUAUGUAAACUUCUGACUUCAACUGUAUUACAAAAAGAGAUUCAGCUUGGUUUCGUGAACUUACUGGACUACCCAGAACCAGACGUGUGCCUAAGGACGUCCAAAUUCAAUAAAAUCUAACAGAAAACGUGACCAUUGGCUGGACAAUCCUGGACUUUGAGAGACUGGCGGUUAAGAAAAGACAUGGCUCAGCUGUGUCUGCACAAGAGGAACAUUACCACCCCCUGUUACUAAAUUACAAAGGAGCUUGGCUGAAGACUUCAUCCUUUAUUGUGUCUGAUUCUAUAAAUAUUCAUGGUCGGCAUAUAUCAAUGGCCAAUCAGAUCACAAUCGGAACUAGCAGAUGAUCUGUGGAGGAAGCUGAGCCAAGUCCCGUCCAGGGUUUUCUUCAUCGUCUAGUCCUGUGAGGAAUCGUCAAGGUCUGAGGGCCUCUGUGCACAAAGUGUCCUGAAAUGUCAUCCUCCAGACAGCAGAUUAGUCAUGGAGCCCUAACGUUCUCUCUACACUUCCCUUCCCGGUCCGUCCACCUGUGAUGUGAGUUCUGGGCCGGUUUCACUGGCUCGGACAGAAGCAGGCGCUGCGAACAUGACAUGAAAGAAAAAACAAGUCUACUGAGAGGAUCCAAACUGUCCUCAUCACUCACACCUUAUGUUAGACCUUGUCUUUAAAAAAAUGCAUGGGAUACUCUAUUUACGGCUUGAAACAGGUGUUCAGGGACCUCUCUAAACAGAUUUGCAAAAUGAGAUAAAACCAAAUGUACCAAGACUAACAAACUCCACUGCUGGAUAAGUAGAUUGCAUAGUCAUGUUUGGCCGUUUAAAUAUUCUUCGUGUGAAAUUACAGUAAUGGGGGUUAAACCAUUGUGAACCCAGAUCAUUGAUUAAAUGCCAGGGUUUCUGUAAAAAUAAUCUAGGAUUAGACUGUCUGUAUUGAGGAUAAUUGGGGGGAUUUCUGGUGUGUGAGACUGCAGUACAGUGGUGUAAAGUACUAGUUAAGUAGUUAUUUGGGGUAUCUGUACUUUACUAUUAAUAUGUUUGACAACUUUUACUUUUACUUCACUACA